CGGUGGAUGCCCUGGCAGUCAGAGGCGAUGAAGGACGUGCUAAUCUGCGAUAAGCGUCGGUAAGGUGAUAUGAACCGUUAUAACCGGCGAUUUCCGAAUGGGGAAACCCAGUGUGUUUCGACACACUAUCAUUAACUGAAUCCAUAGGUUAAUGAGGCGAACCGGGGGAACUGAAACAUCUAAGUACCCCGAGGAAAAGAAAUCAACCGAGAUUCCCCCAGUAGCGGCGAGCGAACGGGGAGCAGCCCAGAGCCUGAAUCAGUGUGUGUGUUAGUGGAAGCGUCUGGAAAGGCGCGCGAUACAGGGUGACAGCCCCGUACACAAAAAUGCACAUGCUGUGAGCUCGAUGAGUAGGGCGGGACACGUGGUAUCCUGUCUGAAUAUGGGGGGACCAUCCUCCAAGGCUAAAUACUCCUGACUGACCGAUAGUGAACCAGUACCGUGAGGGAAAGGCGAAAAGAACCCCGGCGAGGGGAGUGAAAAAGAACCUGAAACCGUGUACGUACAAGCAGUGGGAGCACGCUUAGGCGUGUGACUGCGUACCUUUUGUAUAAUGGGUCAGCGACUUAUAUUCUGUAGCAAGGUUAACCGAAUAGGGGAGCCGAAGGGAAACCGAGUCUUAACUGGGCGUUAAGUUGCAGGGUAUAGACCCGAAACCCGGUGAUCUAGCCAUGGGCAGGUUGAAGGUUGGGUAACACUAACUGGAGGACCGAACCGACUAAUCUUGAAAAAUUAGCGGAUGACUUGUGGCUGGGGGUGAAAGGCCAAUCAAACCGGGAGAUAGCUGGUUCUCCCCGAAAGCUAUUUAGGUAGCGCCUCGUGAACUCAUCUCCGGGGGUAGAGCACUGUUUCGGCUAGGGGGUCAUCCCGACUUACCAACCCGAUGCAAACUGCGAAUACCGAAGAAUGUUAUCACGGGAGACACACGGCGCGUGCUAACGUCCGUCGUGAAGAGGGAAACAACCCAGACCGCCAGCUAAGGUCCCAAAGUCAUGGUUAAGUGGGAAACGAUGUGGGAAGGCCCAGACAGCCAGGAUGUUGGCUUAGAAGCAGCCAUCAUUUAAAGAAAGCGUAAUAGCUCACUGGUCGAGUCGGCCUGCGCGGAAGAUGUAACGGGGCUAAACCAUGCACCGAAGCUGCGGCAGCGACGCUUAUGCGUUGUUGGGUAGGGGAGCGUUCUGUAAGCCUGCGAAGGUGUGCUGUGAGGCAUGCUGGAGGUAUCAGAAGUGCGAAUGCUGACAUAAGUAACGAUAAAGCGGGUGAAAAGCCCGCUCGCCGGAAGACCAAGGGUUCCUGUCCAACGUUAGUCGGGGCAGGGUGAGUCGACCCCUAAGGCGAGGCCGAA
rnacentral:rRNA from 1 species